rnacentral:lncRNA from 1 species
GAAAAUAUCACCCCAGUCCCUCCUGGUCAUCUCACUCCCUCCUGGCCUGUACAGUUUCCACUGAGAAGUCUGCUGCCAGAUGGAUUGGAGCUCCUUCAUGGGGAGUGAAGCCAGCCUGCUUCUAUGCUGCCAUUUUGGAACUCCUGAAAAAUAUUUUCACUGGAUUAGAAUUAGAGCUUGAUAGUUCUUUAAGGACUUGAAAAAUAUUGUGCCACUUUCUUGUCUCCAUGUUUUAGGCUGUACAGGAGGCAUGGCUGGGGAGGCCUCAGAAAACUUACAAUCAUGGCAGAAGGUGAAGGGGAAGCCAGCACAUCUUCAUAUGAUGGCAGGAACUUUAUAUGUUAUAGAAGUUAGCCCCAAGAAUGAAAUCGUGUCCUUUGCCAAAACAUGGAUGGAGCUAGAGGCCUUUAUCCUAAGUGAGUUAACGCAGGAACAGAAAGCCAAAUAGUGCAUGUUCUCACUGAUAAGUGGGAGCUAAACUAUGGGUUCACAAAGGCAUGCAGAGUGGUACUGUGGACAUUGGAGACUCAGAAUGGGGGAGGCUAGGAGGGAGGUAAGGGAUGAAAAAGUACCUGUUGGGUACAAUGUACACUACUUGGGUGACGAUGGGUCCACUAAAAUCCCAGAUUUAACCACUGUACAAUUCAUCCAUGUAACCAAAACCCACCUGUACCCCAAUGCUAUGAAAAUAAAUAAAACCAAAUUAGCUCUGUUUCUGUUAGAUGAGAUGCAAAUAUUUUCCCAAGUUUGUCCUUUGUCUUUUGACUUUGUUUAUGGUGUUUCACUCAUGCAGAUGUUUUUUAUUUUCAUGUUUUUAACUUGUC